rfam:Capsicum annuum cultivar Zunla-1 chromosome 2, whole genome shotgun sequence
UAAGUGGCAGAGUGGCCUUGCUGCCACGAUCCACUAAGAUUCAGCCAUUUGUCGCUCUAGUUCAUCCCUCCCCCUCUAAUCCAAUCAUUUUUCCGUCCAUCUCAGAAGGAGGUUUAUGGAUCAGUACUUGGAAAAUACCACUAAGUGUUAUGAGUUUACCUUACCCUUGAUCAUGCCGCGGUAUAUCCUCACCAGAGUUCGCCGCUUGUUUUUCAAGUCACGCGGGUAUUUUAUUCCAAAUAAAGAAUUAGGGUUCACUUUCAGAGAGAGAGCCUGAGAAAUGGCUACCACAUUCAAGGAAGGCAGCAGGUAUACAAAUUACCCAAUCUUGACACUGGGUGGUAGUGACAAUAAAUAAUGAUACCGAGCUCAAUGAGUCUGGUAUUUGGAAUGAGUAUAAUCUAAAUCCCUUAACGAGGAUCCAUUGGUGGGCAAGUCUGGUGCUAGCAGCCAUGGUAAUUCCAGCUCCAAUAGCGUAUAUUUAAGUUGUUUUAGUUAAAAAGAUCGCAGUUGGAAUUUGGGAUGGGCCGGAUAUUCCACCUAUGGUAUGCACCAGUCGUCUCAUCCCUUCUGUCGGUGAUGCGCUCUUUGCCUUAACUGGACAGGUCGUGUCUCUAGCAUUGUUACUUUGAAGAAAUUAGAGUGCUCAAAUAAAUCCUAUGCUCUGAAUAUAUUAGCUUGGGAUAACAUUGUAGGAUUUUGGUCUUAUUACAUUAGCCAUCGAUAAUAGAGUAAUGAUUAACAGGGACAGUCGGAGGCAUUCAUUUUUCCUAAUCAGAAGUGAAAUUCUUGGAUUUAUGAAAGACGAAUAAAUGUGAAAGCAUUUACCAAGGAUGUUUUCAUUAAUCAAGAACCAAAUUUGGGGACUCGAAGAUGAUCAGAUACCAUCCUAGUCUCAACCAUAAAUGAUGCCGACCAAGGAUCGGCAGAUAUUUCUUUUAGGACUCCAUCGGCAUCUUAUGAGAAAUAAAGUUUUUAGGUUCUAGGGGGAGUAUGGUCGCAAGGUUGAAACUUAAAGGAAUUGUUGGAAGCACACCACCAAGAGUGGAUCCUGCAACUUAAUUUGACUCAACAUGGGGAAGCUUACCAAGUCCAGACGUAGUAAGGAUUGACAGACCAAGAGACCUUUCUUAAUUCUAUGGGUGGUGGCGCAUAGCCGUUCUUGGUUGGCAGAGCAAUUUUUCUGGUUUAUUUUGUUAACGAAUUAGACCUCAGUCUGCUAACUAGAUAUGCGGAGGUAUCCCUUUUCGUCCAACUUCUUAGAGGGACUACGACCUUUUAAGAUGUGGAAGUUUAAGGCAAUAACAGGUCUGUGAUGCCGUUAGAUGUUUUAGGUUGCACGCGCACUACUUAGAUGUAUUCAAUAAGUUUACAUCCUUGGCCUAUGUUUUAGGCCGCACGCGCACUACUUAGAUGUAUUCAAUAAGUUUACAUCCUUGGCCGAUAGGCCCUGAUAAUUUUAAAAUUUCAUUGUGAUGGGGAUAGAUCAUUGAAAUUGUUGGUCUUCAAUGAGGAAUUCCUAGUACGCAUGAGUCAUCAGCUCACGUUGACUACGUCCCUGCCCUUUGUGCACACUACCCUUUGGUACUGCCAAUUGAAUAAUCCAUUGAAAUGUUUAGAUUACGUUGAUGUGGGUGGUUCGUUGCCCGCGGUGUCUUAAGAAUUUCAUUGAACCUUAUCAUUUAGAGGAAGGAAAAGUCAUAGCAAGGUUUCCAUAGGCAAACCUGCGGAAGGAUCAUUG